UACGUAGGUGGCGAGCGUUGUUCGGAAUCACUGGGCAUAAAGAGUUCGUAGGCGGUUUGGUAAGUCAGGUGUGAAAUCCCCCGGCUCAACCGGGGAACUGCAUUUGAUACUGCCAGACUUGAGGGUAGCAGGGGAGAGCGGAAUUCUGGGUGUAGCGGUGAAAUGCGUUGAUAUCCAGGAGAACACCGGAGGCGAAGGCGGCUCUCUGGGCUAACCCUAACGCUAAGGAACGAAAGCCAGGGGAG
rnacentral:rRNA from 1 species